rnacentral:rRNA from 1 species
AUUGAACGCUGGCGGCAUGCCUUACACAUGCAAGUCGAACGGCAGCACGGGAGCAAUCCUGGUGGCGAGUGGCGAACGGGUGAGUAAUAGACCGGAACGUGCCCAGUCGGGGGGGAUAACGUAGCGAAAGCUAAGCUAAUACCGCAAACGAUCUACGGAUGAAAGCGGGGGAUCGCAAGACCUCGCGCGAUUGGAGCGGCCGAUAUCAGAUUAGCCAGGUGGUGGGGUAAAGGCCCACCAAGGCGACGAUCUGUAGCUGGUCUGAAAGGACGACCAGCCACACUGGGACUGAGACACGGCCCAGACUCCUACGGGAGGCAGCAGUGGGGAAUUUUGGACAAUGGGCGCAAGCCUGAUCCAGCAAUGCCGCGUGCAGGACGAAGGCCUUCGGGUUGUAAACUGCUUUUGUACGGAACGAAACGGUUCUCUCUAAUACAGGGGGCUAAUGACGGUACCGUAAGAAUAAGCACCGGCUAACUACGUGCCAGCCGCCGCCGUAAAAC